rfam:Schistosoma rodhaini strain Burundi genome assembly, scaffold: SROB_scaffold0002357
AGCUUUUUGAAUCCAUGCAGAGAUUUCAUCAGACACCAACCCAUUACGUCUGAUCAAACUUCCAAGAUAUGUGAAGUU